AAUGAGUCCCAGUUGCGAAGAUGCAUCCAACUUCAUCAGGAAGUAAUAUGGUUAAUAUAGUUUAAUGUGCAUUAAUUUCUAAUAUAUUUAAAAGAAGGAUAGUCGCUUGUAGGGAGCAUCGUUAGCAACAAAACCUCUCGACAUACAGUUGCUCAAUGGAACCUUCCCUCACAAACGACGAUAAAUAUUAAAAAUAUUAAAGCUUUUAAUAUUUAUAGGUUUGUAGAUUUAAUAAAUACAACAUCACGUUACAUCGUUCUUAAAACAACUUUGGCUGUCUUUCUGUAUCUAACUUUGGGAUUUUUUCAACUUCUUCACCAAACAGAAGUUGUUGAACCUCUUUUAAUUCACCAGUUUUUAUUGGUAAUAAUAGUUGUGAACUACAGAGUAUACUUUGGAACUCAGUGUGCAGAUGCUUUAUCUUCAGCUCAGCUUAUAGUCCAUAUUGAAAUUUGUAUGCGGAAAUCAAAAAAAUAUAUUUUGCAUUUAAGGGAGAGAAAUUGCAAUAUUCAAUACCAUGGUCAGGACAGUCUGCAGGAGUAUCAAAGUCUAUAUACAUAAUCAUUCAAAGGUGUCAAAAACCAUUGAUUAUAUCAGUUUCUGGUGUAAUCGCUCAAUAUUCUUCUUGGUACUACGGAAGCUUUCUAUAUAGAACGUUCUCUUACUUUCUAACAUUAAAAGCUGUGCUUGGACUAUAAGAAUAAAAACCUUUAUUGUAAUAUUUUCAUUGUUGGAAUUAUAACAACGAAAAUUAUAAAUAUACACGGAGUGAAUUGUAGUGUGAAUAUAUUCCAUCGGUGUAACUAGGAAGCAAAUGUAAAAUUCCAAAUCGCUCAUUUUUCCUAUAUACUAACCCUAUG